UACGUAGGGUGCAAGCGUUAAUCGGAAUUACUGGGCGUAAAGCGUGCGCAGGCGGUUUUGUAAGUCUGUCGUGAAAGCCCCGGGCUUAACCUGGGAAUUGCGAUGGAGACUGCAAGGCUUGAAUCUGGCAGAGGGGGGUAGAAUUCCACGUGUAGCAGUGAAAUGCGUAGAGAUGUGGAGGAACACCGAUGGCGAAGGCAGCCCCCUGGGGUCAAGAUUGACGCUCAUGCACGAAAGCGUGGGGAGCAAACAGG
rnacentral:rRNA from 1 species